UGUCCGCGCCGACCUCCAAGUCAUUUAAGCGGUCUUGGUGACGUCCAGCCGUUGGCACGAGCCUGAUAGUCCGCACGGAACGGUCCCCGCCACCCCAGUGGCAGGCGACUGCGAGACGGCGCCCUGCGAGUGUCCGAGUCUGAGAUUAAUUUCUCUUCCGGAAGUCAGCCGGCCGAGGCUGGCUCCAGACACCUCCGUGCUUCCCGCCGUGCUGUGCACGCCUAGUUGUUCGUGUCGUGUCGUCUUGGGGUAGAGACCCGGGCUGUGGGCAUCCGUAUCAUUUUUCAUUCAUUCAUUCACAUGCAUGCAUCCGUCCAUCCAUUCACCAUCGGUCCGUCCGUCCGUCCAUCCAUCCAUCCAUCCAUCCAUCUACCAUCCAUCCAUCCAUCCAUCAAUCCAUUCGUUGCUAGACUUUUCUAUUCCAGACGCGCGAGGCGUGGAGCAGAAAGAGGAUGAAAGAGGUUAAAUUAAGCUUCUGGCACAGUGCCCAGCAAAGUCCUUGACAAAGAGGCCAGCCGACGAAUAAAUGUUUGUGGAAGGAAAGAAGAAAAGGCCGUAUGUAAAUGACAUGAAAUGCAGAUCCCACCUGCCCUCAGGGCCACUGGACAGAAAAGACAGAGCUGCCAAAAUAGAUAAAUUAAAACAGGUCCCAUCUGAUUAAACACCAAAGGAGAGGGGGCCAGGCACACAUGUGGAGGUCUGGAGAGAUGACCGUGACCAGUCGUCGGAAAAAGCCGACGUCAAGAAGACGGGACCUGAACUGUGCGUACGGGAUGGGUCCAGAUUAACUAGGAAGAAAAGGACAUUCUGAGUCUCACCACACAAGAGGCGAGGCCGUGGGGAGGCAAGGUGAAGGACGAGGCGAAGCCCUUCUAAACUUCUCAUGCUUCCUUUCAUAUCGACUUCUGUUUAAUUAAGAGCUGUUUCGACGGCAUCAAGGAGUUUGCUGGAAGGCCUCAGAUCGCAGGGCAAGGAAUUCUGUCUAGGAAGGUCCAUGUGCAGAAUCAGAGCCCAAGAGACUCAGGUUCAUAGACUGGAAGUGAAGUGAAUAUACAGUCGCCCCUUGAACAGUGUGGGGAUUAGGGUGCCGACCCCCACACAGUUAAAAAUCCACGUGUAACUUUUGACUCUCCAAAAACGUACUUACUAGUAGCCUUCUGUAUUAACAGUAGAUUAACACACAUUUUGCAUGUUACAUGUAUAUAUACUGUAUUCUUACAAUAAAGUAAGCCAGAAAAAAGAAAAUAUUAAGAAAAUCACAAGAGAACAUACAUUUAUAGUAGCGUACAUAUUUGUUUUAAAAAGAAAUUCACGUAUAAGUGGACUCACACGGUUCAAACCCAUGUUAAGGGUCAACUGUACUUCUUAAUGUGGAUGAGUGUUCCCCCCCAAAAAUGUGCCAAGAUACAAAAUGUACUCGGUUUAAUAUUUCAGUUAAAAUAAACACCAUUUUCCAAACAGGAUCAUUUUUUGAUUUACAAAAGCACCAACACCCUACAAAUUUCAAACAAUAUUUCAGUGAGAAAACUCUAGAACAACGGAAGUCCAAGUUCCUUGGAGACUGUGGAAUUUGAUGUCUGUCCCGGCUAAGUAGUCUUCUAUCAGAUGCCCUGGCAUUUUUGCCCAUCAUUUUGUAAAUGCAUUUUCAACUUUCAGCUUGCAUAGCACAGAUAUCUUUGAAUUUUUAUUUUUUCAAUUUUAGCGUGUGAGAUUAUUUUUGCUAAAUUUAAUGGUUCCCAUUUUAUGAAAUGGAAACUUAUUUUUCCCUCAUGGUUCGUUCUCUUUUAAGCUUUUUAAAUGUUGGCUUUUUUCAUCCAGUCUUUGCUAUUAUCUGCAACACUUCCAAAUAUAAAAUAAUCUCUAAAUUUCUUUAAUGAGCUUCCUCUUGCCUUAGAAAAUUCUUAAAAAUCUAACUACCGCAUUCACUCUGUUUAUGUAGAAACUAUGAUUAAAAAGUGUUUUGUUCACCCUAGAAGUUCAAUAAAUGCUUACAGACCAA